GUUCCUGUAGUUAAAUUUUUAGUAACGACAGUUUUUCAGGCUGUAGAUCUCGGAGAGAGGCCGAGUAGGAAUU
rnacentral:tRNA from 3 species